rnacentral:misc_RNA from 1 species
GACGAACCGUGCGAACGUUGUUCGGAAUCACUGGGCUUAAAGGGCGCGUAGGCGGGCGGCCGCGUCCGGGGUGAAAUCCCCCCGCUCAACGGGGGAACGGCCUCGGGUACGGGCGGCCUCGAGGGGGGUAGGGGCGUGCGGAACUGUGGGUGGAGCGGUGAAAUGCGUUGAGAUCCACAGGAACUCCGGUGGCGAAGGCGGCACGCUGGGCCUUUCCUGACGCUGAGGCGCGAAAGCCAGGGGAGCGAACGGG